GAACAGAAACCAGGAUGGAGCACAUGUCAUGCUGAAUUGGGCUCUUACACUGAUAGGACACAGCAUCGAAGGCAAAGGCCAAGACAGGUUUUCAAUGAACUCUUGAGAUUGCUGAGAAAUCUCCAGAAAUCCAGCAUGUUUUCUCCUAGGAACAAACUUUAGCGCCUCUUCCCAAUUACCAGUGUUUUUCAGACAUAACAAAAUACGCAUCAUUUGAUCCAAGGCCACAAGCAGGGAGCUGGAUGGG